UACAGAGGUCUCAACCGUUGUUCGGAUUCAUUGGGCGUAAAGGGUGCGUAGGCGGUCGUGCAAGUCGGAUGUGAAAUCUCAGGGCUCAACCCUGAACUGCAUUCGAUACUGCGUGGCUAGAGUGCUGGAGAGGGAGACUGGAAUUUACGGUGUAGCAGUGAAAUGCGUAGAUAUCGUAAGGAAGACCAGUGGCGAAGGCGAGUC
rnacentral:rRNA from 1 species